rnacentral:rRNA from 1 species
ACGGUUGAGUAACACGUGGGUGAUCUGCCCUGCACUUCGGGAUAAGCCUGGGAAACUGGGUCUAAUACCGGAUAUGACCUCCUAUCGCAUGGUGGGUGGUGGAAAGAUUUUUCGGUGCAAGAUGGGCCCGCGGCCUAUCCACUUGUUGGUGGGGUAAUGGCCUACCACGGCCACGACUGGUAGCCCACCUGAGAGGGUGACCGGCCACCCUGGGACUGAGACACGGCCCACACUCCUACGGGAGGCAGCAGUGGGGAAUAUUGCACAAUGGGCGAAAGCCUGAUGCCUCGACUCCCCGUGAGGGAUGACGGCCUUCGGGUUGUAAACCUCUUUCCCUGGGACGAACCGCAAGUGACGGUACCUGCAGAAGAAUCACCGGCUAAAUACAUGCCACCAGCCGCGGUAAUACGUAGGGUGCAUCCGUUGUCCGGAAUUACUGGGCGUAAAUAGUUCUUACGCUGUUUGUCGCCUCGAUUGUGAAAGCUCCCACCUCAACUGCUGGCUUGCAAGCAAUACCGGCACACAUGAAUACUGCAGGGGAGAC